rnacentral:rRNA from 1 species
UAGAGUUUGAUCCUGGCUCAGGACGAACGCUGGCGGUGCGCUUAAUGCAUGCAAGUCGAACGAACCCAUCCGCUUCGGCGGGGACGGAGAGUGGCAGACGGCUGAGUAACACGUAAGCGACCUACCCUGGAGCGGGGGACAAGCCGGAGAAAUCCGGUCUAAUACCCCGUACGCUCCUUUGGCUACGGCCAUUGGAGGAAAGGCUUCGGCCGCUCCUGGACGGGCUUGCGGCUUAUCAGAUAGUUGGUGGGGUAAUGGCCUACCAAGUCAGAGACGAGUACCCGGUGUGAGAGCACGGACGGGCAGAGGGGGACUGAGACACGGCCCCCACUCCUACGGGAGGCAGCAGCAGGGAAUCUUGCGCAAUGGGCGAAAGCCUGACGCAGCGACACCGCGUGAAGGAAGAAUGCCUUCGGGUUGUAAACUUCUUUUAUCAGGGAAGAGAUAGGACUGUACCUGAUGAAUAAGCCCCGGCUAACUACGUGCCAGCAGCCGCGGUAAUACGUAGGGGGCGAGCGUUGUCCGGAUUUAUUGGGCGUAAAGGGCGAGUAGGCGGCACGUCAAGUCCCAUGUGAAAUCUCCCGGCUUAACCGGGAGCGGUCAUGGGAAACUGUCGAGCUUGAGGACAGCAGAGGAGAGCGGAAUUCCCGGAGUAGUGGUGAAAUGCGUAGAUACCGGGAGGAACACCAGUGGCGAAAGCGGCUCUCUGGGCUGCCCCUGACGCUGAGGCGCGAAAGCAUGGGGAGCAAACCGGAUUAGAUACCCGGGUAGUCCAUGCCCUAAACGAUGAAUACUAGGCCUGGGGGGUAUCGACCCCCUCCGGGUCGAAGCUAACGCGGUAAGUAUUCCGCCUGGGGAGUACGGCCGCAAGGCUAAAACUCAAAGGAAUUGACGGGGGCCCGCACAAGCAGCGGAGCGUGUGGUUUAAUUCGAUGCUAAGCGAAGAACCUUACCAGGGCUUGACAUGCGCUGGACCGCCUGAGAAAUCAGGCUUUCCUUUCGAGGACCAUUGCACAGAUGUUGCAUGGCCGUCGUCAGCUCGUGCCGUGAGGUGUCGGGUUAAGUCCCGCAACGAACGCAACCCCCGUCGUUAGUUGCCUUUUCUAGCGAGACAGCCCCUGACAAGGGGGAGGAAGGUGGGGAUGACGUCAGGUCAGCACGGCUCUUACGCCCUGGGCUACACACACGCUACAAUGGCCGGUACAGAGGGUUGCGAGGAAGCGAUUCGGAGCUAAUCCCACAAAGCCGGUCUCAGUUGGGAUUGCAGGCUGAAACUCGCCUGCAUGAACGUGGAGUUGCUAGUAAACGCAGGUUAGCACACUGCGUUGAAUACGUUCCCGGGCCUUGUACACACCGCCCGUCACGUCAUGGAAGUCGGUAACACUUGAAGUCGCUGGGCUAACCCUUCGGGGAGGCAGGCGCCGAGGGUGGGAUA